UUUUUUUAAGCACAAAUAUAACAAUCAAGCAUUAUCAAUUGGAUCCAUCAUAAUCGCAGUUAGAUACAAAGGCUAACCAAAGUAGGAUUAAAAGUCUGGCAGCAUUAAAACUGAGUUCAAAAUUGAAUCCACAAAGGAAAUCAAAGUAAUUUCUUUAACUCAUUUGAAACAGACUUAACAUUAGUGGCAAUUGAAAUAACCCACACAACAAAUCAUGGCCCUACUAGGACAACCAUCGAUACUUACACAAUUCCACGACAACGGAAACUGAACGGCGUUUGUCGGAAGCAUCUUCAUGAAUAUUCAGAAGAGUUCAUCCCUUUUUGCCUCGUGUAAGUUGCCGUCCCAUUUGCGUGUUGCUGCUGAGAUGCAACCAUAAAGAAGAAGCUUCCGUGUGUGGUAAUUUAACAGGGCAAGGAUUGGGUCCUAGACGGUGGUGUUUCGUGAGAUCCGACGGAGGAAGUUCGUCAUAUACGGAUCUUGAUGCAUACGAAGGGAUUUCGCACAGGAUUCGGCGAGUUGCGUGCGGAUAGCGGAUGUGUGUCGAGAUCGGAAGAGGGGUUUGAAGAUGAGGUUAUGAAUGUUUCAGUUAUGGAAACAGGAAGAAGAUUGAAGAUCUGCAAUUGGUGGUGAGAGCUUGAAGGUUGAGUUGGAAGAAGAAGACAGAAUUUGGGAUUUGUUUGUGGGUCACAUAUUUGGAGAAGAAAAGAGCAUUUUUUAUUUUUCUGUGUGUGUCACCUCUUUUCUUUUUUUUUAUUUUUUUUUAUUUUCGUUACAGGAGAGAUAAUGGUAACGUGUCCAAUGGGUGUCGUGGAAGCCAGAUGAAAAAUGAGAGAGGUCCCCCUUUUAUUUCUCAAAAAAAU
rnacentral:lncRNA from 1 species